rnacentral:rRNA from 1 species
CAGCCGCCGCGGUAAUACGGAGGGAGCUAGCGUUGUUCGGAAUUACUGGGCGUAAAGCGCACGUAGGCGGCUUUGUAAGUUAGAGGUGAAAGCCUGGAGCUCAACUCCAGAAUUGCCUUUAAGACUGCAUCGCUUGAAUCCAGGAGAGGUGAGUGGAAUUCCGAGUGUAGAGGUGAAAUUCGUAGAUAUUCGGAAGAACACCAGUGGCGAAGGCGGCUCACUGGACUGGUAUUGACGCUGAGGUGCGAAAGCGUGAGGAGCAAACAGGAUUAGAUACCCCAGUAGUCCCUGUCUCUUAUAC